CAACCUAAACCAUUCUGCAGUCCCGUGAAAAUUCACCCUUAGCCGCUCCAUGUGGGGCAAUGGCAGGCUCUGUACUGAAGAAUUUAUCUAAAUGGUUAAUGCAGAGAAAUGGUGCUUUGGCUGGGAUGGGGAAUUUCCUUGUACUUGGGGGCCUGCAGAGAAAAGGAGGGUGAUAUAGAGAAGCAUUUACGCAGACCUGUGAACUGAUCUGUGGAAACGCCUUAAUUUUGCAACUGCAAGACCCAAAAGACAAGUUUCUUCCAUGGCGGUGCAAUGUGAAGCCCUGCCCAACCCAAGUGCCUCCUCGGAGAGGUAACUAACUCAUGUGCUACAGAUCUGCCUCCUCCUCUGCCAGCCAGAGCCAGCACCUGAGCCACAGCCCAUGAUUGCCCCCCAGCUGCACUCCCUACCUAUUUAAUGGGACCCAAAGCAGCCCAGGGCUGUUUGUCAGCAAUGCAAUGCAAGGUGCUGCUUCUCCAGCUCCUGACUUAUCCUCUAAGAUUCAUGUUGUAAGACUGUCCUCUCUUUAACACAGAUAACACGAGUGAGAUUCAAAUGCUCCUGAACAUAAAAGGUGUCAUCAACCCCUCAUGCCGUCUUACUGCCUAGAAGCCUGCUAUGUGGAUUUGAGUUAUUUUAUCAGAUUAUUGGAAGCAAAAUCGGCAAAUCCAGGCUACCACUAGCACAAAGAUUUUCUUUGCCUAGUAGGAUGAAGUGUCCAGCUCCUUGGGGAGAACACUCUCCACUUGACAGGAUGUUGCCAGGGAGGUGCAUUGCUGGGAUGGCUUGUGCUGAGCUACCCGCGGAUCCCAAGAACAGACCACCUCACUGUAGACAUGCCCUCGCCUGGGAGUGUGCAGGUGGAGAGGGGGAGAGAUCUGUGAGCAGAAGACAGCAGUCUUUGUGGUUGCAACUGGAAAAGUGUUGUAUCUUUCUUUGUAUUUGUCUAUUUUAGGUUGUCUGAUAAGCAGAAAUAGGAAAAAAAGCUUCUUUAGGGGUGCUUAGAAGCACCUGGAGGCUUUCUCUGAGGCAGGAUGUGCCAAAAAUCCCAUAUGAGUACUAAGAGCUCUUCCACUUGGCCUGAGCUGAAGCAUCUCAGGGCUGCUGCUGCUGCCUGAUGCUGGCUCAGCCAAGUGGCUCUGCCUUUCCCCACUGCUCUGGGCAGCAUGGGCAUUACCCUGCAGGCGUCAGGCAAAGCUUCUGGGCCAGCAAGCACGGCGUCCCACAUGCUCCAGGCACCAGGCACUCUUUGAGAAGGAAGGAAUGGCCAGUUAAAUUAUACAAGCUGGAAACCAAAGAUCCCUCCUUGUUGGCUUCAUAAGUGGUAAAAUAUUUCACCAGACAAGUGACAUUUGACAUUUCCAAAUUGAAAUCAUUUUGAUACUCUGUUCCACAAAAUAUAAAACACUGCAAUUUCAAUUCCCCAUCGCACUAUUUGGGACAAAGUCCAAUACUGAAAUGUCUAGUUUCAUCCCAAGGUGCAAAUGCACAAGAGCUCAGCUCCUGUAUUGAAGUUUUUGGUUUUAUAUUUCACAUCCAUCAAGUGAGAACAGAGCAUGGCCUAUGAGCAACUCUGACACUGCUGCAGAGGGACAAAGCAGCAAUUCUUGUGACAAGCAGAAGAUUAAAUCGCUGAGAACGGCAGCAUAUGAGAAGUACAAGUAUCCAAACUGUUCACUUCAGUGAUUCUGCUCCAGGAAGAAGUGUCCUCAAUGGCUACAUACACUCUAGUGAUCUCUGCUAAUCAAAAUGUUUCUUGCAUUUUAGAUACCCUUUAAUCAAGUGUGUGAUGAGGGUUUCAGAAAUCAGGACCCUAUGACAGUGUAGAAAUGAGGCACAGCACUAACCAGCUUCUUGAAGAAAGCCUGGACUGGCAGGAAAAUCUUCAGGAAGAAUG